AAGGAUCACAUUUUUCUCCUUUAUGUGUUUAGUAAUUUCUAAAUGGAUGUUUACCAUUGCCAAGUGUUUAGAUUCACUACAUUCCAUUAAAGAUUGUUGAAUUUUGUUGGGCUAGCAGUUGACAUUCUUUCAGAUCAUACUGAUCCUUUCAGGCUUGUCCAUGAAGUUUGUUAAGGAAGAUCUAGAAUUGCCUUUAUAUGAGGACAAGUUUAGCCCUAUUCCUUGGUCAUGACCUUUUUUUGAGCCUUUAUUACAUGUAUAAGGUGUUAAUGAGUUCUCCCAGCUUUAGCUGGUAAAAUUUAAACAUCUCUCAGAUUUGUACAAACACUGAGAAAUGUUCCACUUACAGCUCUCAGAUACUCUUUUGCCUUUUUUCAUAGGAUAUCCAUGCCUACUCUUCAGCAAAGCACUCAAGUGAGCCUUUAGGAACAUUACUGUAGCUCUUUGUCUUCAUAGUCUUCUCUCCAGGACUCUUCUGUAAAUUCCAGAAGCUUCAGCUCCCUUUUCUAUGAACUCUAUCUGUUCAACUCAGAGAAACCAUUGUCCUGAGUUUAGUUCCCCUAAUUUAGCCACAGUCUCAAAAGUAUUUCCAGGUAGAAAACCAGGGCCAUUACAGAUCUCAACUCAUUAGUUUCUUUUCUUAAAGGUAUCACAGUCCUCUGAGCCUAUUGGCCAAGAUCUGAAAACAGCAGAAGUGGUUUCUUAUAUUUUAUCCUGUUUUCCUACUGGGGAGGCAAGUUUUGAACUACUUAUUCUCACACGGCACAGACAAAAGUCCCCCUUCAGUGAAUAUUAUAAAUAUUACAUCCUGUGAGUGAAAAACAAAAUGUAAUGUACACUGCAAUGGAAUAAUAUUCAGCAAUAAAAAGGAGCCAAGUGCUGACAGAUGUUACAACUUGGCUAAAUCUUGAAAAUAUUAUGCUAAGUAAAAGAAAUCAGACUCAAGAGAGCAUAUAUUGUGUAGUUCCAUUUAUAUAAAAUGUCCAGAAAAGGAAAAUAUAUACAAUGCAGGAUUGACAGGUAGCUAUCCUGGAAGACAACAAAAUAUGACCUCAAAGUCUUGGAGUAGAAGUAGUGUAGCCAUGAUAGCUCCAGUAUUGAUUUCACAUCAAUCAGUAUUGAUUUGUAAAACAUGAGCAGUGCUGGAGAUUCCCAUCUAUUACAUUGUAGUUGACUGGACCUUUUUGUGAUUUUAAGGGACAAAACAUGAAUUAGUAUUAUUUGGGCAUUAAAUAGAAUUGCUGCUGCUCAUAACUGGAGUACAAAGGGUCAUGAGCAUUACAAAGAUUUUAAAAAUAUGAUGGAUCAAGAGCUAGCUAUAGCAAAAACUAUAGCUCUUAUAGCUAUAAUAAGAGACAGUUGUUCCACUUUUAAAAAAACACAGAGAAACUACUUAUAAUUUAGCUUACUUUGCAGACCCCUUAAAGACUCUAAUUUUAUUAAAUAAAUAUCGUCUCUACUAAUAAAAAUAUUCUCUUGAUAUAUACUUCUAAGAUCGUUACAAACCCCUGUUUUAUGUAUGAUUAAGAAAUGACUAAACAAUUUCUCAGCUCUCAUAAAGAGUCAGCUUGUGUCUUUUUAAAGGCAGCUGAAUAUUCCUAUUGUCCAGCACUGCAAACUGCACCGUUGGUGGUACUGCAGUGUACCAGGGAAUUUUCUACCAUUAAAUCCACAUCCUUGUAUAUCCAAUGGAAAAAUGUUCAAAGAUUAGAUGGAUUUUACUUAAGAGAUGGAAGCAUUAUCUUGAACAAUUCUUGGGAUAGGAUUAAAAAAAAACACAUAAAUUGAAUCAAUUUGGUAAAGAAGAUUAAACUGUUGGAAUGGGGUUUUACCUACCUGACCAUAUUGAUGCUUUGAAAUUUAAUUAAAAUUUAGUUUGAAUAAGGAUAAUAUGUCCAUGGUUCAUAAGCAAAACAUACUAGAACUGAAAACAAAUAGCUGGUUCUGUAGAUAGACUCAUGGUGUUAUAUCAUCCUUUAGGAAACAAAAUUGUGGCUGAAUAUGUUAAGAAUAUGUUUUGUUCCCCGUUUCAGUGCUGUGUGCCUUGUGCAACAUAUUGCCUCUCCUGCUGCUGUGUGCAACCUUUUUACAGUUGGCAUAAAUAUGUACAUUAAAUCUAUUCUUAUUAUUACAGACAUCCCACUGUGAGCCCCCAUUACAAUGGUGUCCGUUAAGCAGUGUUUUUAUUGCCUAAGUUACCACGCUUUUGUAAUGUAUGUUAUUAAGUGCCACCUUUUUUCAGCACUUUGAGGCUCCAUAAUUACCAAUGGAGGCAACUGUAUGAUGUUUGCAAAUUUACACAGAAGCUUGAACAGGGACACCAGCUGCUAGAUAGCAAUAACAGAAUUUAUGCCUGAGGAUCCUGCUGAAAAAUGGUAAUUUCAGCCCAAUAUUUUUUUAAUUUCCAGGGAAACACCUGAAUGUAGACCCAUGGGCAACCAUGACCAUACAAAUUGGGAAGAGAAAUGAUUGCAACACUAACAACAAUGACAACGCUGACAAGUAUAGCAAAAAUCCUCUCAGAGCAUUCUUUCCUAUAAUAUUGUUCUACAUGCCACACUUUGCUGCUUAAGGUACAUAGGACUCUAUUUUUGCUUUGACAAGGGAUAUCACUUUUUGUAACUGAAGAUCACCCCCCCAAAAUCAGUUUUACUGCAUAUGUUGAAUAAAAAGGAAUAGGGACAGACAUUAUUAUCUUUCUCUAAAAGCCACUUCCCAGUCCUGAAUAUCUUUCCUGUUAUACAAAUAUGUUUUCCUCUCACACCUUGAAAGAACUAUUCCUAUUGAAGUCCAUUUUAGUUAUCUAAGUUAAAAGAGUCAAGGUCCUAGAGGGAGGAAUAGGUGACCAAGGAGCUGGUUAGUGAAGAAGGAAAGAUAUUUGGACCACAAUGACCCAAAAGUAGCCUCUGAGGCACAUGAUGGAUGAUCAACACGUAGGAUUCUAGAUCACAGCAGGCAAACUUGUGGCAAAUCAUCCUGAUAAAGAAGCCAAAUUUACCCAGUACUAUCUUAAGUUCAUAUGCCUAUCAGUGGAAUAAAAAUGAAGUUGAGAGGAUACAAAAUUAUUGAAGACACUGCAUUUCUGGUCAAAGAACCUUUUGAAUAACACAAGGCAAUAAUUAGUCAGAUGCCAAAUAAUGAAGUACAAAAGGGCUGAAAUAUUUUUUUAAAGUUACAUGAUUUUUACAAAGCUACAGUCAUCAAAACCUUAUGGUACUGGCACAAACACAGAAACAUAGAUCCGUGGAACAGGAUAGAAAGCCCAGAAUUAAACCCACGCACCUACAGCCAACUAAUCUAUGACAAAGGAGGCAAGAAUAUACAAUGGAGAAAAAACAGACCCUUCAGUAUGUGAUGCUGGGAAAAUUGGACAGCCACAUGGAAAAGAAUGAAAUUAGAACACUUCCCAAUACCAUACACAAAAAUAAAUUCAAAAUGGAUUAAGGACCUUGAUAUAAGACCAGAUACUAUAAAACUCUUAGAGGAAAACAUAGGCCAAACACUCUCUGACAUAAAUGACAGCAACAUUUUCUCACAUCCACCUGUUAGAGUAAUGACAGUAAAAACAAAAAUAAACAAAUGGGACUUAAUUAUAAAAGUUUCUGCACAGAAAAGGAAACCCUAAACAAAAGAAAAUGACAACCCACAAAAUGGGAGAAAAUAUUUGCAAAUGAAGCGACUGACAAGGGAUUCAUCUCCCAAAUUUAUAAACACCUUCCUGCAGUCAAUGCAAAAACACAAACAACCCCAUCAAAAAAACGGGCAGAAGAUCUAAACAGACGAUUCUCCAAAGAACAUAUACAGAUAGCUAAAAAAAUAUGAAAAUAUGUUCAACAUUGCUAAUUAUUAGAGAAAUGCAGAUCAAAACCACUCUGAGGUGCCACUUACACUGGCCAGAAUGGCCAUCAUCAAAAAGUCUAUAAACAAUAAAUGUUGUAGAGGGUUUGAACAAAUGGGAACCCUCUUAUAUUGUUGGUGGGAAUGUAACUUGGAGCAACCACUGAGCAAAACGGUAUGGAGAUUCCUCAGAAAACUAAAAAUAGAAUUACCGUUUGAUUCAGCAAUCCCACUCCUGGGCAUCUAUCCAGAGAAAACCAUGAGUUGAAAAGAUAUAGGUACUGCAAUGUUUAUUACAGCACUAUGUUCAAUAGCCAAGACAUGGAAACAACCUAAAUGUCCACUGACAGAGGAGUGAAUCAAGAAGAUGUGGUACAUAUACACAAUGGAAUAUUAUUCAGCCAUUCAAAGGAAAGAAAUAAUGGCAUUUGCAGCAACAUGGAUGGAUCUAGAAAUUAUCAUGCUAAGUGAAGUCAGUCAGACAAUGAGACACCAAGAUCAUAUGCUAUCAUUUACAUGUGGAAUCUAGACAAAAAAGACACAGUGAACUUCUUUGCAGAAUAGAUACUCGCUCACAGACCUUGAAAAACAUAUGGUUUCCAAAUAAAACCGAUGAGGGGGUGGGGGGAUGCACUGAGGAUUUGGGAUGGAAAUGUUAUUAAAUUGGGUUGUGGUGAUCGUUGUGCAACUGCAAAUGUAAUAAAAUUCAUUGAGCAAUUAAAAAAUGUUAAAAAAGUUAUAUGAUCUUUAUAGGGUAGAGCAUUUGAGAAAAGAAAUCUCUUAAAUGGAUAAAAUUGAAAUGGAAAAGGGAAGAGUUACUGUACACAUUUUAGGAAGUAGAGAAUAAAAGCACCAAAGAAGUUUAAUAUUCCUGAAUCAUAUGAUGACAUGCUCGCUGGUCUAUUGAUUAGAUACAGACAAUAAUAAGGAAAUGCAUUUAUAUAGAAUGUUACAAUUCACAAGGUAACAAGCUCAUACUGAUUCACCUAAUUUCUUCACAUGCGGCUAACAGGCAUCUCCAAUUUCAGAAGAAUCUAAAGUUCAGGUUAGUUAGAAAGCUUAGUAUGGGGUAUACAGCAGAGACUAUAUUAAACCUCAGUCUCCUAAAUCCUAAUCCAGUGUUUUUUACUUAUCAAUACAGUAAAUUAAAAAGAAAAUAAGGGAUAGGUCUAGGAUUACUUGUUGGACCUCUUUUAGAAGAUAAGUAUUCAAAUUUAACAGUGGCAGUUCUGGCUCUUGUGCAUAUUUUCAUCAACCUCCACCUUACCAGCCCAGGGCUUUGCUGUCGAAAAGCAAAAGAGGGGAGAAGGUGGCCUGGGAGGAAAAAAAAAAAAAAAAAAAGAGGGAAAAGCAGCUUGACUCCCCUGACUUUUCCAAAGUCUCCUCUGUAAAACAGAAAGACCUUUUCAUCUGACUAGAAAGGCCUCUGUAGGGGGUGCUCCACUGAAGCUGCAUAUGUUCUGUUGAAAAGAUCACUAAGGACUUUAGUUGGGUUUUAAUACUCAUAUUCAAAACCUAGGAGUUCAGAAUAGAAUAUUAGUUCCUAUUUUCACUCUUUGUUCAGACACCCAGUUGAGAACCAUACUUGAUGAUUAUCAGUGACGUGCAUCAGCUCAUAAGCAACCCUUUGGCGUGUGAACAUGAGGGAUUUUAAAAUAUGGGGCUCUUCAAUAUGGAUUUAGGUUACAGUCAUGUCAUGAUCUCACCCUUCCACAAUCUCAAAGGAUCAGAUGGCUCUAAUUGCAGAGAAGUAAAUGAGUAAUCUGUAGUCUAUUUUAGAAAUAAGAGGCCAGAUGAUUCCCUUUCCAUGAGGGACUGAGAUUUCAUCCGCUGCCGAAACCGAGUCUGAUAAGAAUGUAGUAGUUUCUGAAAUCUGAACCAAGGCAAGCAAUGUUAUUUUCAUUUCUGAAAAUGACCUAUGUCCAGUGUAGCAAUCACCUAAUAGGGCUGUAUGCCAAAGAACGCAUUUCAAAUGGCAGAGUUUCUUCUUUCCUUCAGUUCCCUUCUUAAUUCUAUCUUAAAGUGUAUCUUGAAUCUGAAUGAGCUCCAGACAAACCCCGCAUGCAACAGUCAGGAGAAUUCAAACCAAUGCAUUUAUUAUGCUCAGGAAUCACAGCUGACUCCCAGGGUUGCCAAAUCCAGUGGGAUUUGUACAAACUGCACGUGGUUUUCAUAAGCAUUGAUUGCAGCCAAAAUGCUGUUUUGUGAGUUGAAUGUUUAUCCGAUCGCCAAAUGACCAAGGUUGACUUUGCAUCAAUAUGAAGGUUUAUUAAGCUUAUUAUAUGACUUUUUGUUUACCAGCUUAUUUGCUUCUGCAAAAAUGUAACAUAAAUGUGAAAUUUCCCUUUCAAAUUCCUAUCAAUGAAGACAGUGAUUUGUUUUGUUUUCAUGAAUCCUGGGCUGUCAGACUACAAUCAAAUACCAAAACACAAAUAAUAAAAACCAAUCUCUCUGGUGAUUUUAGAAUGUGAAAAAGUAAUUUUUAUCUAAAAGGAGAAUUGUGUUCCUGCCUAUUUAUCUAUAAAACCAGUAAAGUAAUUACUAACAGUGCAAGCCUAUGAAAAAAAAUAAUAAUGAGUUUUCCAUAAUACCAUAUUGUAGAAUAGAUAAAAAUAAAGUCCAAGGCUCCAGGGAGCAGAAAGUUCUGCAUGUAGAUGGGCAGAAACAAUGCAGGACUUAAGCAGAGUAACAGAACUUACCUCUAAUUGAGGAUGCUCCCUAAGGAGCUUGUUACCACAACAUCUAGCUAAAGGUUUCCUAAGAACCAUCUGAAGCUUGGUCAUCUGGCUGGCAUUCUACAGUAACAGCUUUUCACUGAAAUUCAGUCUUAUUGAUAUCUAUUCACAUUUUUUUUAAGAUGGGAAAGAAAAAGCUUAAGAAAUAAAAACAGAAAAAAAAUAGAAUUUAUGUUUAAAAUGAGGCUCUCUCCUUUAUGAUUGAAUUUGUUUAGAGGAGAAAUGGUAUCCUUGUGAUUAUCUCUGUCUGUAUUGCCAGCCUCUGCUAAGAAAGUAAGAAAAGAUGACAAUGAGAAUUUGAAGCAAACUUUUUGGGGUCCUUGUUCUAGAAGAAAGAAUACCCCAUGGGAAGGGUGACUACAAAUGCCUGUGCUGUCAGAUUUCAUGAAAUAUGGGAGGCUCAUAAGGCAAAGACUUCAGUGUCCAUUUGCCAAAGCCAUCUUAGAAAACAGGAGGAAAAGAAUUAAGUAAGUUGACUUAAAACCCAAACCACAGACUGGUAUGGGUGGCCAGGUAUUUGACAAGGUGGCCAGUCUUAGUAUCACAAAGACAAAAGCAAAAGGAAACAAACAUUUCAGUCUGUCACUAAUCAGUAUGUUCUAUCUCAUGGAGAUCUACCCAUCUGUAAUAGAAUUUUCAUUUUGGGCUUUUGGUGAUAUAACAGCCAUGUUGCUGCUGACGCUCUGGAAAUAUUAACAUUUGUGUUUUCAAGUGGAAACUAUCCACAUACAAAGCAGUCAGGCCAAACCCAAGUACUUUCAAAAUCCCAAAUACUACACUGUAAAACAUUGUAAGCUUUCACAUCCUCUAACUUUGUUUUAUCAUCAUUCGAGAGGGUACUAGCAAUUCCAAAGAUGCUAAGGAUGUCAAAACUGAGUACUGAAAUGUAAAAAUGCAUACUUU
rnacentral:lncRNA from 1 species